GUGGGGAAUAUUGCGCAAUGGGGGAAACCCUGACGCAGCGACGCCGCGUGGAGGAUGAAGGUUUUCGGAUCGUAAACUCCUGUUAAGUGGGAAGAAAUGGCAGAAUUUAAUACAUUCUGCAGCUGACGGUACCACUAGAGAAAGCACCGGCUAACUUCGUGCCAGCAGCCGCGGUAAUACGAAGGGUGCAAGCGUUAUUCGGAAUAACUGGGCGUAAAGAGCGCGUAGGCGGCUUGUUAAGUCAAUUGUUAAAUCCCUCAGCCUAACUGAGGUCAUGCAGUUGAUACUGGCAAGCUAGAGGUCAAGAGAGAGAAGUGGAAUUCUCGGAGUAGCGGUAAAAUGCGUAGAUCUCGAGAGGAACAUCGGUUGCGAAGGCGGCUUCUUGGCUUGAAUCUGACGCUAAAGCGCGAAAGCGUGGGGAGCAAACAGGAUUAGAUACCCGGGUAGUCC
rnacentral:rRNA from 1 species